GGUUUGAUGAAUUUAGUUGUUAAAUUUGGCCUGCCCAAUGAUUUAAUUUAAUGGCCGCGGUAAUUUGACCGUGCAAAGGUAGCAUAAUCAUUAGUCCUUUAAUUGGGGUCUGGCAUGAAGGGUUCGACGAGGGAGGUUCUGUCUUAAGCUAUAAUGGGUCUGAAAUUUAUUAUUUAGUGAAAAAGCUAAAAUAGUCUUGAGGGACGAUAAGACCCUAUAGAUCUUUAUAGUUUUCACUCCUUGACGAGGGAGUGUUAACUGUUUUGUUGGGGCGACAUAGAGAAAUGGGUAUCUCUCUAGUUUUAGAAUUACCGGCAGGUAUAUUGGUUAGAUCCAUUGUUUAUGAAAAUCGGAUUAAGUUACCUUAGGGAUAACAGCGUAAUUUUGCUUGAGAGUUCAUAUCGACAGCAAAGUUUGCGACCUCGAUGUUGGAUUAAGAUUUAUUGGUGGUGUAGAAGCUGCUAGAUUGGGUCUGUUCGACCCUUGGAAUCUUACA
rnacentral:rRNA from 1 species